rnacentral:ncRNA from 1 species
GAGCUCGGAAGAGACCGCGCGCAGCGCGGCGCCGAAGGGGAACGCAAAAGCUCUCAGGCAAAAGGACCGGAC